UGGGGAAUAUUGCACAAUGGGCGAAAGCCUGAUGCAGCGACGCCGCGUGAGGGAAGACGGCCUUCGGGUUGUAAACCUCUUUCAGCUCCGACGAAGCGAAAGUGACGGUAGGGGCAGAAGAAGCGCCGGCCAACUACGUGCCAGCAGCCGCGGUAAGACGUAGGGCGCGAGCGUUGUCCGGAUUUAUUGGGCGUAAAGAGCUCGUAGGCGGCUUGUCGCGUCGACUGUGAAAACCCGUGGCUCAACCAUGUGGUCUGCAGUCGAUACGGGCAGGCUAGAAUUCGGUAGGGGAGACUGGAAUUCCUGGUGUAGCGGUGAAAUGCGCAGAUAUCAGGAGGAACACCGGUGGCGAAGGCGGGUCUCUGGGCCGAUAUUGACGCUGAGGAGCGAAAGCGUGGGGAGCGAACA
rnacentral:rRNA from 1 species